AUGUUGUUUGGUGGUGUGGAUUUUCAUGUAAGGUGUUCGGCACACAUCCUUAAUAUCUUAGUUCAAGAUGGAACAAGAUAUGUGCACAAGACCAUAGAAAAAAUCCGUGAACUUUUAAGGCAUAUCGCUUCUUCGCCAUCAAGAAUUCAAUCCUUCAAUGCGAUUGCCACAAAUUUGGAUCUUCCUGAAAAGGCUGGUGUCAUAAAUCUUGAUAUUCCAAACCGUUGGAACUCUACAUAUCUAAUGAUUGGAGAAGCUCUGGAAUACAAGGGAGCCCUCAAUAAUUAUGCAAGUGGAAAUGGUGAAGCACCGGACGAUGUGGAGUGGACUAAUGCUGAAGUAAUGUGCGCAUUUCUAAAACCUUUUGAAGAAGCGACAAAGUUAGUAUCA
rnacentral:rRNA from 1 species